UUUUGGGCCUUUAUGUUUCAACAUUUGACUAACUGGGUAUAAGGAAGCAUAUUCCAAUCAUCCAAGGACACUGGGUGUGACUUCACCAACAAAGCUCACAGCUGAUACAAGCAAACCAUGUAAACUUAAACCUGUUACUUCAUUGAAUGAGUGCUAAGCUUCAGUAUGAUGUAAGCUGCUCUAUAACAAUGUAAUGUCUGUGCUGUUGUCAUCCUAUUGCCCCCACUCUUAGGAUCUGAAAUAAUUUAUACAACAAUGGGUUAGAUUAAUUUUC